CAGAGAGUCUCAUGUGGAACAAGAAAUAGAAUGCUUGGCAUGGGGAAAAAAAGAGUCUUGCUAUUGUCGCCCAGGCUGGAGUCCAGUGGCUCACUCUCCACUCAAUGCAAACUCCACCUCUCAGGUUCAAGUGACUCUCCUGCCUCAGCCUCCUGAGUAGCUGGGACAACAGAGACAGGCUGUUGCUAUGUUUCCCAUAAUCUCAACUCCUGGCCUCAAGCAAUCCUCUCACCUCGGCCUCCCCAAGUGCUCCACCAUGCCCAGUCUACUUG